GAGAGUUUGAUCCUGGCUCAGGAUGAACGCUGGCGGCGUGCCUAACACAUGCAAGUCGAACGAAGCAUACACCACGGAAGCCUCCGGGCGGAAGAGGGGUAUGACUGAGUGGCGGACGGGUGAGUAACGCGUGGGCAACCUGCCCUGUACCGGGGGAUAACACCCAGAAAUGGGUGCUAAUACCGCAUAAGCGCACAGUGCCGCAUGGCACGGUGUGAAAAACUCCGGUGGUACAGGAUGGGCCCGCGUCUGAUUAGCUAGUUGGCAGGGUAACGGCCUACCAAGGCAGCGAUCAGUAGCCGGCUUGAGAGAGUGACCGGCCACAUUGGGACUGAGACACGGCCCAAACUCCUACGGGAGGCAGCAGUGGGGAAUAUUGCACAAUGGGGGAAACCCUGAUGCGGCGACGCCGCGUGAGUGAAGAAGUAUUUCGGUAUGUAAAGCUCUAUCAGCAGGGAAGAAGAUGACGGUACCUGACUAAGAAGCCCCGGCUAACUACGUG
rnacentral:rRNA from 1 species